rnacentral:rRNA from 1 species
AUUGAACGCUAGCGGGAUGCUUUACACAUGCAAGUCGAACGAGUGGCGGACGGGUGAGUAAUAUAUCGGAACGUGCCCAGUAGCGGGGGCUAACUACUCGAAAGAGUGGCUAAUACCGCCUACUAUUGGAGCGGCCCAUAUUGGAUUAGCUAGUUGGUGGGGUAAAGGCUCACCAAGGCAACGAUCCGUAGCUGGUUUGAGUGGACGACCCGCCACACUGGGACUGAUACACGGGCCAGACUCCUACGUGAGGCAGCAGUGGGGAAUUUGGGACAAAUGGGGAAACCCUGAUCCAGCCACGCCGCGUGUAUGAGAAGGCCUUCGGGUUUUAAAGUACUUUUGGCAGUGAAGCGUUAUCUGCAGAAUAAGCACCGGCUAACUACGUGCCAGCCGCCGCGGGAAUAC